ACAGGAGUCAGAGCUGAUGUACAAGUCCAAGGCCCAGCGUCUGGAGGAGCAGCAGCUGGACAUCGAGGGCGAGCUGCGCCGGCUCAUGGCCAAGCCUGGUGCGUCCCCCGCGCGCCAGCCAAGGGGCCCCAGCCAGGGACGCCGUGGAGCCCAGGGUGCCUGGGGGCCGGCUCUGUGAGGCCACCUGACUGUCCUGGUGAGGCUCUGAAGUCACUGCAGGAGCGGCGGCGGGAGCAGGAGCUGCUGGAGUGGUACGUGAGCACCGUGAACGACCGCAGUGACAUCGUGGACUCGCUGGACGAGGACCGGCUCCGGGAACAAGAGGAGGAUCAGAUGCUGCGGGACAUGAUUGAGAAGCUGGGCCUCCAGAGGAAGAAGUCCAAGUUCCGCUUGUCCAAGAUCUGGUCACCAAAAAGCAAAAGCAAAAGCAGCCCCUCCCAGUAGUAGCCAGUGGGGCCAUGGGCUCAGCCUGGACCCGGCAUCCGGACUUGGACCUGGGGACGUGGGCUCGGCCUGGACCCAGCAUCUGGACUUGGACUCAGGAAGGGCCUCCUGUCCCUACAAGGGGCAUGUGGACAGCAGGGACCUGCGCUACCGUCUGGCCUCAAUAAAGAAACGGACCACACGG
rnacentral:sRNA from 1 species